rnacentral:rRNA from 1 species
UACGAAGGGGGCUAGCGUUGUUCGGAAUCACUGGGCGUAAAGCGCGCGUAGGCGGAUUGUUAAGUCAGGGGUGAAGUCCCGAGGCUCAACCUCGGAACUGCCUUUGAUACUGGCGAUCUUGAGUCCGGGAGAGGUGAGUGGAACUCCUAGUGUAGAGGUGAAAUUCGUAGAUAUUAGGAAGAACACCAGUGGCGAAGGCGGCUCACUGGCCCGAUACUGACGCUGAGGUGCGAAAGCGUGGGGAGCAAACAGG